rnacentral:rRNA from 1 species
CUGGGCGUUAAGUUGCAGGGUAUAGACCCGAAACCCGGUGAUCUAGCCAUGGGCAGGUUGAAGGUUGGGUAACACUAACUGGAGGACCGAACCGACUAAUGUUGAAAAAUUAGCGGAUGACUUGUGGCUGGGGGGGAAAGGCCAAUCAAACCGGGAGAUAGCUGGUUCUCCCCGAAAGCUAUUUAGGUAGCGCCUCGUGAAUUCAUCUCCGGGGGUAGAGCACUGUUUCGGCAAGGGGGUCAUCCCGACUUACCAACCCGAUGCAAACUGCGAAUACCGGAGAAUGUUAUCACGGGAGACACACGGCGGGUGCUAACGUCCGUCGUGAAGAGGGAAACAACCCAGACCGCCAGCUAAGGUCCCAAAGUCAUGGUUAAGUGGGAAACGAUGUGGGAAGGCCCAGACAGCCAGGAUGUUGGCUUAGAAGCAGCCAUCAUUUAAAGAAAGCGUAAUAGCUCACUGGUCGAGUCGGCCUGCGCGGAAGAUGUAACGGGGCUAAACCAUGCACCGAAGCUGCGGCAGCGACGCUUAUGCGUUGUUGGGUAGGGGAGCGUUCUGUAAGCCUGCGAAGGUGUGCUGUGAGGCAUGCUGGAGGUAUCAGAAGUGCGAAUGCUGACAUAAGUAACGAUAAAGCGGGUGAAAAGCCCGCUCGCCGGAAGACCAAGGGUUCCUGUCCAACGUUAAUCGGGGCAGGGUGAGUCGACCCCUAAGGCGAGGCCGAAAGGCGUAGUCGAUGGGAAACAGGUUAAUAUUCCUGUACUUGGUGUUACUGCGAAGGGGGGACGGAGAAGGCUAUGUUGGCCGGGCGACGGUUGUCCCGGUUUAAGCGUGUAGGCUGGUUUUCCAGGCAAAUCCGGAAAAUCAAGGCUGAGGCGUGAUGACGAGGCACUACGGUGCUGAAGCAACAAAUGCCCUGCUUCCAGGAAAAGCCUCUAAGCAUCAGGUAACAUCAAAUCGUACCCCAAACCGACACAGGUGGUCAGGUAGAGAAUACCAAGGCGCUUGAGAGAACUCGGGUGAAGGAACUAGGCAAAAUGGUGCCGUAACUUCGGGAGAAGGCACGCUGAUAUGUAGGUGAAGUCCCUCGCGGAUGGAGCUGAAAUCAGUCGAAGAUACCAGCUGGCUGCAACUGUUUAUUAAAAACACAGCACUGUGCAAACACGAAAGUGGACGUAUACGGUGUGACGCCUGCCCGGUGCCGGAAGGUUAAUUGAUGGGGUUAGCGCAAGCGAAGCUCUUGAUCGAAGCCCCGGUAAACGGCGGCCGUAACUAUAACGGUCCUAAGGUAGCGAAAUUCCUUGUCGGGUAAGUUCCGACCUGCACGAAUGGCGUAAUGAUGGCCAGGCUGUCUCCACCCGAGACUCAGUGAAAUUGAACUCGCUGUGAAGAUGCAGUGUACCCGCGGCAAGACGGAAAGACCCCGUGAACCUUUACUAUAGCUUGACACUGAACAUUGAGCCUUGAUGUGUAGGAUAGGUGGGAGGCUUUGAAGUGUGGACGCCAGUCUGCAUGGAGCCGACCUUGAAAUACCACCCUUUAAUGUUUGAUGUUCUAACGUGGACCCGUAAUCCGGGUUGCGGACAGUGUCUGGUGGGUAGUUUGACUGGGGCGGUCUCCUCCUAAAGAGUAACGGAGGAGCACGAAGGUUGGCUAAUCCUGGUCGGACAUCAGGAGGUUAGUGCAAUGGCAUAAGCCAGCUUGACUGCGAGCGUGACGGCGCGAGCAGGUGCGAAAGCAGGUCAUAGUGAUCCGGUGGUUCUGAAUGGAAGGGCCAUCGCUCAACGGAUAAAAGGUACUCCGGGGAUAACAGGCUGAUACCGCCCAAGAGUUCAUAUCGACGGCGGUGUUUGGCACCUCGAUGUCGGCUCAUCACAUCCUGGGGCUGAAGUAGGUCCCAAGGGUAUGGCUGUUCGCCAUUUAAAGUGGUACGCGAGCUGGGUUUAGAACGUCGUGAGACAGUUCGGUCCCUAUCUGCCGUGGGCGCUGGAGAAUUGAGGGGGGCUGCUCCUAGUACGAGAGGACCGGAGUGGACGCAUCACUGGUGUUCGGGUUGUCAUGCCAAUGGCACUGCCCGGUAGCUAAAUGCGGAAGAGAUAAGUGCUGAAAGCAUCUAAGCACGAAACUUGCCCCGAGAUGAGUUCUCCCUGACUCCUUGAGAGUCCUGAAGGAACGUUGAAGACGACGACGUUGAUAGGCCGGGUGUGUAAGCGCAGCGAUGCGUUGAGCUAACCGGUACUAAUGAACCGUGAGGCUUAACCUU